AACUGCUGAUACGCCACCGGGUUAAUGGGAUGAGGGAAACUGAAUGAUGGGCUGGCAUAGAAAGAAAAGGAAAGGCCAUUACAUCACAGGAACGAGGAACACAUUUUGCGAACAACAAUCUUGCUUUUGGCUGCUUCGACUUGCUACUGGACUUGGAAAGCUUCCUGAUGACUCAGAGCGACUUGAUGCUACAGCGCAGGAUCGAGUCUCGAUGAUGAUAGGACCUAACCGUCAACGUCAACAUUUGAGAAAGAUACGGCACUGGAGACUGAAAGUUGUGUCCACAGGGCCGCGGGAGUGCUGGAGCCAAUGCCAGCUGACUUUGGGCGAGAGGCAGGGUACACCCUGAACUGAUCGCCAGCCAAUCACCGGGCACAUAUAAACGAACAUCCAUUCACACCUAUUUUAGAGUCUUCAUUUAACCCAGCAUGCAUGGGGAGAACAUGCAAACUCCACACAGGCGAGCCUGGAUUGGAACCCAGGUCCUCGGAAGUAUGAGGCAGAUGUGCUAACCAGUCGGCCAUCUCUAUUUUGUGAAACUACAAGCAAAUGGAAAAUUCAUUUUUACAAAUAUACUCACACUCUCAAGCUCAGGCAGAGUACAUUUCAAUAAAGUUGUUCAAAUAACAAUCAAAUGAAUUGUUUUUUACUUGACAGUGGUGUCUGUAAUUUUGGUCUGCUUAAUCAUGCGUUCACAUCAUUUUAAACGCUGAGAUUUGCGCCACGAUAACAACCCCAGAUGCCAAAACCCUCAUCCGUGCAUUCGUUUCUUCUAGAGUUGACUACUGCAAUGUCCUACCCCAAUGUACCACAAAAAACAACAACAACAAAAGAAAAACUACAGUUUGUGCAAAAUAGUGCUGCCAGAAUAUUCACUUGCACCAACAUAUUUAAUAGCAUCACCCCUGUCCUGAGAGUAAGUCCCUUCAUUGGCUACCUAUUCAGGCCAGAUCAGACUUCAAGGUCCUACUAUUGGCCUACAAAUGUCUUCAUGGCCAAGCGCC